GCCCAGACUCCUACGGGAGGCAGCAGUGAGGAAUAUUGGUCAAUGGCCGCAGGGCUGAGCCAGCCAAGUCGCGUGAGGGAAGACGGCCCUACGGGUUGUAAACCUCUUUUGUCGGGGAGCAAAGCGAACCACGUGUGGUUCAUUGAGAGUACCCGAAGAAAAAGCAUCGGCUAACUCCGUGCCAGCAGCCGCGGUAAUACGGAGGAUGCGAGCGUUAUCCGGAUUUAUUGGGUUUAAAGGGUGCGGAGGCGGGUCUGAUAGGUCGGGGGUAAACGCCGGGGCCUCACCCCCGGCGAGCCGUUGAAACUGGCUGUCUUGAGAUGUCGAGAGGUAUGCGGAAUGCGCAGUGUAGCGGCGAAAUGCUUAGAUAUUGCGCAGAACUCCGAUUGCGAAGGCAGCAUACCGGCGGCGAUCUGACGCUGAGGCGCGAAAGCGUGGGUAUCGAACAGGAUUAGAUACCCGAGUA
rnacentral:rRNA from 1 species